rnacentral:rRNA from 1 species
CCUUCCCUGGAGUGGUGGAUAACCUGCCGAAAGGCGGGCUAAUACAGCAUGGGACCACGACGCUUUGGCGAUGUGGUGAAAGCGGGCCUCUAUAUAUAAGCUCGCGCUCCGGGACGGGUCCGCGUCCCAUCAGCUAGUUGGUGAGGUAACGGCUCACCAAGGCAACGACGGGUAGCUGGUCUGAGAGGAUGGCCAGCCACACUGGAACUGAGACACGGUCCAG